rnacentral:rRNA from 1 species
UACGGGGGGGGCAAGCGUUGUUCGGAAUUACUGGGCGUAAAGGGCGCGUAGGCGGUCAUGUAAGUCAGACGUGAAAUCCCUCGGCUCAACCGAGGAACUGCGUCUGAUACUGGAAGGCUUGAAUCCGGGAGAGGGAUGUGGAAUUCCAGGUGUAGCGGUGAAAUGCGUAGAUAUCUGGAGGAACACCGGUGGCGAAGGCGGCAUCCUGGACCGGUAUUGACGCUGAGGCACGAAAGCGUGGGGAGCAAACAGG